CCGAUAGUGAACCAGUACCGUGAGGGAAAGGCGAAAAGAACCCCGGCGAGGGGAGUGAAAAAGAACCUGAAACCGUGUACGUACAAGCAGUGGGAGCACGCUUAGGCGUGUGACUGCGUACCUUUUGUAUAAUGGGUCAGCGACUUAUAUUCUGUAGCAAGGUUAACCGAAUAGGGGAGCCGAAGGGAAACCGAGUCUUAACUGGGCGUUAAGUUGCAGGGUAUAGACCCGAAACCCGGUGAUCUAGCCAUGGGCAGGUUGAAGGUUGGGUAACACUAACUGGAGGACCGAACCGACUAAUGUUGAAAAAUUAGCGGAUGACUUGUGGCUGGGGGUGAAAGGCCAAUCAAACCGGGAGAUAGCUGGUUCUCCCCGAAAGCUAUUUAGGUAGCGCCUCGUGAAUUCAUCUCCGGGGGUAGAGCACUGUUUCGGCAAGGGGGUCAUCCCGACUUACCAACCCGAUGCAAACUGCGAAUACCGGAGAAUGUUAUCACGGGAGACACACGGCGGGUGCUAACGUCCGUCGUGAAGAGGGAAACAACCCAGACCGCCAGCUAAGGUCCCAAAGUCAUGGUUAAGUGGGAAACGAUGUGGGAAGGCCCAGACAGCCAGGAUGUUGGCUUAGAAGCAGCCAUCAUUUAAAGAAAGCGUAAUAGCUCACUGGUCGAGUCGGCCUGCGCGGAAGAUGUAACGGGGCUAAACCAUGCAC
rnacentral:rRNA from 1 species